GAAUAGGGCUUCUGUCUUGAGUGGCACAUGUAGAGCAGCAUGGUUGCUCUACAUGCAGAAUUGACAUCAAGAGAUUUCAGAAGCAUAAUUUUUUGGUACUUGGCAGCUGGUGAUCCCUGGUUCUGGAACCCCA